UGACAAGGAUGCAGAACCUCUUGUGGGCUCU
rnacentral:piRNA from 1 species